rnacentral:sRNA from 12 species
GCCUUCGCGGCCCGAAUCGUCGCCGUAUGGCGGCUUGUCUGGCGCAUCGUCAGUCUAGGGCGCGAGGGCGUAA